CUUCAGUGUUAUCGAUCAAGAAUUCAACUCCAUCCGUGAGAGAUUUGACCAGGAAAUGAAGAAGAUGGAAGAUGAAAUGUCCCGCUUCCGAAAUGAACUGAUGAAUAGGGAGUCUUCCCUCUUCCAACGCUCCAUGCUCACCUCCAGGGCGGAGGUGUUUAGUAACAAAACCCACCGUAGGGAAACUCGAGUCACAGGGAAGGAUGGGAACACAGUGGUGUCCAGUGAAACAGAGUCUGUCUCCAAGAGCCAGCAGGACCAGGCAAGCUCCAACCAAGGGACAGGGUCAUGGUUAGAAGGCAUGAACUCUCCACUCAUCCAACAAGAUGGUGACUGCAAACAACUGAAACUUCGAUUUGAUGUUAGCCAGUACAAGCCUGAGGAGAUUGUCG